UUUAAAGGAAGCUGAGGCAGAGCCAGGGUUUUGUCUCAGACCCCACGGCAGGAGAGCAGGAGGAUGCCAUGCAGGGGCUCCAGGUCUGGUCUUCUCUGCGCCAGCCUUCCCUCUACCCUGGCCUUCUCUGCUAUGUCAUCUCAGCAUCACAGAAGGUGGCCAUUGACGAGACCAGCUGGGAUUGAACUAGGAUCUCUUUGGCCCAGUUCCAAGGGGAGGACUUGGUCAGCUCAGCUUGAACCAGAUGCCCACCCUGACCAAUGUCUGAGCCAAUUUGUACCAAUAUGUUUGUUGGCAACCACUCCCUAAAGCCCAAGUCUCUCAAAGUGAGAGAAGAAAGAAAAAUGAGGAUGGAGAAGAACGUAAUACCAAAUAUUUCACCAAAGCAUUAACCGGUCGACAAUGGAAAACAGCAAUUUCGCUGGCUGUCUCCCGAUUCCAUUCUGAAUUGGAGCUGGCGGAGCGGGCAAGGUGGCCUUGCUGUUGCCUCUCUGCACAGCCCUGUGACCCUCUGCUGGCCUGGGACCACCCAGGACCAGACCUGCAGCUUCUUUAUCCCUUUACCCUGUACCUGUGCACAGCGAGGCUUGCUGUUGUUGAGGAAACAUGUACCCCACUUCAUGGCCUUCAAAGCACUUCUAAAAACAAGCAAAGAGGGCAGCCCGGGUGGCUCAGCGUUUGCGCACUGCCUUCAGCCCAGGGCCUGAUCCUGGAGACCCGGGAUCUAGUCCCACGUCAGCCUCCCUGCACGGAGUCUGCUUCUCCCUCU